AAUGUCUAGCAAAUGAGUGUGCCCAGAGAACUCGGAAAAUGGACUGAGAAGAGUGAACAGGGAGGAUCAGGAAGAGAAAAGUGAGUAAGGGGCGGUGGCCGACUGUCAGCCUCGCCAGGGUGGGGAGCGACUGGUUUUGACAGACUGUAAAUAGGCGACUCUCAUUUGUAAGCCAUAAAGACUGUCCUGGAAAGAAAUGUAAAAUUCAUUUUACAUUGUCUCUCGCUAAUUAAAACUUUUCAAGGUUGUUUAGUUUUUCCAGACUCGACGUUGGAAAAGUUUGGCUGGAAGGUGCGGAGGACGUUUAUAUCGUGCGUUUUGGGUGUGGGGGCGCACGGCAUCUGCAACAUUAAAAGGCAAAACGUUCUCAACUGUGAAGAGAGGAAGAGGCGUAUUCUUUGGCUCUUAAAUCAUUUGGCCAAACACGUCGCAGUUCUGAAGGGGGUGGGGCCAUGGCAACUCCAAAGUAUUGAUUCUUUGUCUAUUGUAUCAGUGAAUGACCCUCUCCAGAAGUGACCAGACGCCUCUUUGUGUUCUCCUUUCGGCGACCAUCAACGGUUUUUUUUCUUCUCCAUUAUUCAGUGUCCAUGUAAAAAUGACUUGUAAUAUAGCCAAGACAAGACAGAAUUUAGAGACUCGUUCCAACUUAAGGAGUGGGGCUAUUAUUAUUAAUGACUUUAUUUAUCAUGACCUUAUGGGUUUAUUAUCAGCGCAUUUGUUAGCACUGGAUCACAAUCUGUUGUGUUAGGAAUUUUGUACUUAGUUUAAUUACAUACUCUGUAUAUUUAAUUAAUUGAUUGAUUGAUUUAUUAAUAGGACACAGCAUUCAUUGUACUACUUUUGAGAAUGUUUUGUUUAAACAAAAGGAAAUGAAUGAAUGUAACUUUUUGCUCAAGUGUGUCCAUUUUGAAAAUCAAGAGCGGAGCAGUGCCGGCCAUUUCAAGACAUGAGUUUCGUGGAAGUGCUUGAGAAGGAGCGAUUCGACAUCAAGUAUUUAAAGUUCUUGAUUCGUGUUUGAUAAGUGACAUUGAUAAAUGUAAAUUAUUGAUGAAUCAGUUUGAGUAACCAGCAAUGUAUGAGAAUAUCUAGGGGUUUCAUCUAUAGAACGUUCUCAUGCUUUGUCUUCAAAAAUAACUAAUGACAAGGUGUUUACUGUAAGAACGGAGUUGAAGGAGAUGUCUGCUGUCUGCACAAACAAGGCUAUUCCAUGCCUAUAGUAUUCAGUAAAACCAACUGGAGCUA